AACGAACGCUGGCGGCAGGCCUAACACAUGCAAGUCGAGCGGACCCUUCGGGGUUAGCGGCGGACGGGUGGGUAACGCGUGGGAAUAUGCCCUUCUCUACGGAAUAGUCCUGGGAAACUGGGGGUAAUACCGUAUACGCCCUUUGGGGGAAAGAUUUAUCGGGGAAGGAUUAGCCCGCGUUGGUUUAGGUAGUUGGUGGGGUAAUGGCCUACCAUGCCGUCGAUCCAUAGCUGGUUGGAGAGGAUGAUCCGCCACACUGGGACUGAGACACGGCCCAGAAUCCUACGGGAGGCAGCAGUGGGGAAUCUUAGACAAUGGGGGCAAACCUGAUCUAGCCAUGCCGCGUGAGUGAUGAAGGCCUUAGGGUUGUAAAGCUCUUUCAGCUGGGAAGAUAAUGACGGUACCAGCAGAAGAAGCCCCGGCUAACUCCGUG
rnacentral:rRNA from 1 species